GGUCAACGCUGAGACCAAGGUUUGCUCUGAGCACUUUGUGUUUUGUAAAGACCGCCCGUGGUAUCACAGAGCUUAUAAAGGAUGCUGUGGCAACUUUGUUCGCCUGGACUUCAGAGAGGCCAAAGAGGAGAAUCAUCAUUCGCAGACCGAGUACGGAUUCCAUGGAGGUGGAUGAAAACCAGCCUGAUGUGAGAAGGGAUGCCUUGAGCACAGAUGUACCUCCUCCACAGCCAUACCAUGAUUAUGCUGUUCCACCGCUGACACCAGAGGGACAACUUGAGGCGGCACGCAAGCACAUCAUAG